rnacentral:rRNA from 1 species
GACGAACGCUGGCGGCGUGCUUAACACAUGCAAGUCGAACGGAAAGGCCCUGCUUUUGUGGGGUGCUCGAGUGGUGAACGGGUGAGUAACACGUAAGUAACCUGCCCUUGACUUUGGGAUAACUUCAGGAAACUGGGGCUAAUACCGGAUAGGAGCUCCUGCUGCAUGGUGGGGGUUGGAAAGUUUCGGCGGUUGGGGAUGGACUCGCGGCUUAUCAGCUUGUUGGUGGGGUAGUGGCUUACCAAGGCUUUGACGGGUAGCCGGCCUGAGAGGGUGACCGGCCACAUUGGGACUGAGAUACGGCCCAGACUCCUACGGGAGGCAGCAGUGGGGAAUAUUGCACAAUGGGCGGAAGCCUGAUGCAGCAACGCCGCGUGCGGGAUGACGGCCUUCGGGUUGUAAACCGCUUUCGCCUGUGACGAAGCGUGAGUGACGGUAAUGGGUAAAGAAGCACCGGCUAACUACGUG